rnacentral:rRNA from 1 species
UACGGGGGGGGCAAGCGUUGUUCGGAAUUACUGGGCGUAAAGGGCGCGUAGGCGGCCCUCUAAGUCAGACGUGAAAUCCCUCGGCUUAACCGGGGAACUGCGUCUGAUACUGGAGGGCUUGAAUCCGGGAGAGGGAUGUGGAAUUCCAGGUGUAGCGGUGAAAUGCGUAGAUAUCUGGAGGAACACCGGUGGCGAAGGCGGCAUCCUGGACCGGUAUUGACGCUGAGGUGCGAAAGCGUGGGGAGCAAACAGG